CUUGCAGCCAAACGCACAAGCAGGCUCUGAAGGAAGUUAGCUGCUGCUUGCUGGCUGAAUGGAGUGGGAUGGUGUGUGGAUCCUCACACCCCAGUGCAGAACCAGAGCCUCGAUCCAGCUCAGCACCGCAGCACAGAGCUGCUAAGAGGCAUCGCUUGGGAUGGAAAUGUACAGUGUGAUGGAUCUGGGAUUUGCAGACAACUCUUGUGAACAGCAUCUACACGGCCACUGUGAGCAAGGCAGCUAAAGCAGGAAUCAUUAACCAAGGAUAUUGGUGGGAAUGACAGAUUCCAUAGAAUACUACUAUACUGCUAGGAGACAGCCUGUGCCACUUGGCGCACAGAGAGAAGGGAUGACAUCUCCGUACAAAGAGAGCCCUGGAGCCCCAUGUCUCACUCAUGUAUUUCUAAGGAAUCCAUCACAGAUACGAUUGAAAACCUUCACAGAACCAGAUAUCCACAGCUCUGGUUGUCCUCAGGUCUUCCACGGGCAGCAGCUCUUGCAGCAGUUGGCAGAAGCAGACACUCCAGUGCACUGCCCCACGUGCCAAUUGCUGCCUUGCACUGUGCAGAGCUGACCAAAACCAUCCCUGGCAACGCUGUCAUUUAUGAUCUCAGAUCAGCACUGCCUGCAGCAAGGAGAACUGUGCCCUCCUUGGCUGUUGUCAGAGAAACUGUGACAGAGCGUUUCUUUCCUGACAGCCGGAUCUCACCCAGAGAAACCACUGCUGAGCUUCUUAUAACCCAAGGAAGAUCUGCUCCUGUGCCAAGAGCUCGUGUAAGAGGAACUGUAAGGGCACCAUCUGGAGCCCCUGCAGCCGUGGCAGCAACAGAGACAUCGAGCUGCACUGACUUGCAAUGAAAGCACUGUUUGUUUUCAGAAGGGAGAAGAGGAAUUCACCACCACACCAUGGCGGGGGUGUUGUCCCAGAUGCCAGAACAGCACACAGCAGCACAAGCUGAGAGUGCCAAUUCCCAAACACUUACAUCGAUUCCAACAGUUGCAGGAGGAAAUUGUCCCCAUCCUGUAGCUCCAUCCCUCACCUCCUGUGGAGUUCUCUGAGGUCAGCUCUGAGCUCCUUGCUGUGCAUUGCUGCUCCCAUCACUGCUAAUGCAUAUCAACGUAAUGGAGAAUCUCCCCCCUCAUUUAACUUGGCAGAAAAUAUCACACUAUUGUUAGCAGUCUUGAGUUCCAUUCAUAAGCUCAACUGUCACCUUCCAAGGGGUGGAGACAUGGGGAAUCUGAAGUCUUCUUGCUCAAUGGGUUUUUGAAUGAGGCAGAAAAGUUUUUGUUCAUUUGGUGUAGGAAAUCCUGUGCUGUGCUUUUUGGUGCAUGCCAAUUUCCUGGAAGUUCCAUGGAACCACACAGCACUGCUCCCCCCCCAAGGAUGUUCUCUGCCCACACAACCUACAGCAAUGCUGGGCCAGCUGUGUGCAGAACUGCUGUGUGUUUGCCCUAUGGCUCUUGCUGAGGGAGCUCAGUAGCCAGCAGUGUGCUUGGGGACUGCAGAGAGCCACGCACUGAGAAGGCAGAUGGCAUCCCCAUGGUGCCAACAACUGGGCUGCAUGCUGCCAGUGCUCUCAAGCUGCCUCUCUUUCUCUCCUUGCUCAAGCUUUUCCAUACUCUUGCAUUGAAUCCUUUUCCAAGCGAGCACCUCUGCAAUAGUAUAUUUUCAGUCCUGAGUACCCGGUGCUGUAAUAAACA
ensembl:lncRNA